AGUGAACGUUGGCGGCGUGGAUUAGGCAUGCAAGUCGAGCGAGAACCGUAGCAAUACGGGGACAGCGGCGAAAGGGGCAGUAAUGUGUAGGUACCUACCCCCGGGUUCGGGAUAGCUGCGGGAAACUGCAGGUAAUACCGAAUAAUGUCUCCGGACCAAAGGUGUGAUUCCACCUGGGGAGGGGCCUGCAUCCUAUUAGCUUGUUGGUGGGGUAACGGCCUACCAAGGCGACGAUGGGUAGCGGGUGUGAGAGCAUGACCCGCGUCAUUGGGACUGAGACACUGCCCAGACACCUACGGGUGGCUGCAGUCGAGAAUCUUCGGCAAUGGGCGAAAGCCUGACCGAGCGACACCGCGUGCGGGAUGAAGGCCUUCGGGUUGUAAACCGCUGUCGUAGAGGAGGAAAUGCAAGGGGGUUCUCCCCUUUGCUUGACCUAUUCUAGGAGGAAGUACGGGCUAAGUUCGUGCCAGCCGCCGCGGUAACAC
rnacentral:rRNA from 1 species